AAAGUUAACUGAAAUGACAAGAAGAGCGGAGUAAACUACAUCUGUGGUGUGAUUUGGUCGCGAUCAACGAUGGAGAAACUGGCGUCGGUCUAGCUUACUAAGUUGAAAACGCAAUUGUUGAUCACAGAUUUCGACAGAAAUUCAAAGGAUCUGCGAGAAUUGAUGGUGGAUAUGAUGGGUCAAGUUAACGUUAAGCUCUUAGUCAGGUUUUGGAAAGAAACAACGGUAUGUUCAUCGUUAGGACUCGCGGUUGUAGCCAUGCAGGAGACGAUUCAAGACAGUAGGACAUAUUUAGACCAAGUUCAGGAUUUUAAUGUCAGAAGACUCCCACCGGUACCCUGACAUGAACAUGUAAAUUUUUCGAGCCUCGAAACCAGCCUCGCUAAUAAUCAUGCCGGGUCAUAGCCGUGAUGGAAGUUGCCAGGAAACAAUAGGUUAACUUAUCAUCAUGAAGUAAAUACAUGUAGGCUUAUAACUCUGCCUACAUGUUUUCGCCUCCAAUAUCAUAGAACUUUAUUUUAUAAAUUCGCCAUGCAGAAGUUGCAGACGGUAUUUAAAACUGUAUAAAAUGAAACAACAGAACGAUAUAUGUAUGUUUAAUGUUUCUCUUUUAUAAAUUGAUGAAAUUCUUAUUUUUUAUAAAAUAAACUGUAUAAAUAUC